GUGCAGUGCGGUGCUGUACUCGGCUCUGUGUGUGUGUAUGUGCAGUGCUGUGCUACGUCGGUCCAGAUGUUCUAGUCCUGUCUGUGUUGUGUCCCAGACCAGUCACAGGAGCAGAGGUACAACUCCAUCGCCGUGGCGGGAGCCGCCCUGGGGGCGGUCCUCGCUCUCUUCCUCAUCGCCGUGGUGAUCAUCGUCAUCUUCACCGCGCGCAGGGUCCCCCCGCCAGCCUACACCGACAAAGUGAUUGACCUCCCCCCGACCCACAAGCCCCCUCCUCCCUACACAGAGAGACCCCCCGCCAUCCCUCUGGCUGUCCACGCCACCCAGGUGGCAUCGCUAUCACAGGCUCGCCGGUCCGAGCACAGGCUGGAGACGUCCGAGAGGUCAGCAGCCCGGCCGGCCGCACCCCGCCCGCAUCCCAGGAGCCCCCCCCGCCAGCCACUGUCCUAUCAGGAGUGGGUGUGUCAUCAGAACGGCGCCGACCGCGUGUACAUCAACCACCGGGAGCACUACGUGUGACGGACGCCGUCGCAAGCCCCUCCCACCAUGUGACCUGUCAAUCAUCCAGCCCGACCAAUACCAAGCUUGUCGAGGCCACUCUCUCCACUGUGUUGAGCACGAGCAGCCAACCAGCAGGUGCCAUGACAGGACAGCCUCUCUCUUUAACCUUCACACACCUGGUCCUCGCCUCUCCUCCGCCUCAGCAGAGAGCAGAGGAAUGCCGUAGCGGCGGGAAAAAAAAACGAGCCACUCUUUCUGGGCACUUUGAAAUGGCCCACUUUGAGCUCUGUAAUGCCCAUCAGCAGUGAGGAAAGCUGUUGUGGUUGUGGUGUUAUGUUCUUUGCUGUAAUUCUAUCAGACAUGGUAACAUUGUCUGAAGGAGCUAAAACAAGUGUUACUGUAUCUGAGAGUCAAACAAGGCAGUGUUUGGAUUAGCACAGAAGCAAAAUGUAUUCACUGUUAUCUCUAAAAUGUGAAAAUCUGCCUGCAUGUACUGUAUAUAUACUGUAGCCGACGUGCUUGAAAAGUCUAAACUGAGUGAUAGAAAAAGAAAACUCCUGCACUGGAAAUUGAAAUGUGAAUUGUUGUUUUUGUUAUUCAAAUGUUAUUUUACUGUGAUAAUAUAGAAUUUCUUUCAACUGAUUACGUGCCAUAUUUAUAUUAGUGGGGUUCCUUUGGUGUAGAUACGAUCGUC